UACGAAGGGGCUAGCGUUGCUCGGAAUCACUGGGCGUAAAGCGCACGUAGGCGGAUUUGUUAAGUCAGGGGUGAAAUCCUGGAGCUCAACUCCAGAACUGCCUUUGAUACUGGCGAUCUCGAGUCCGGGAGAGGUGAGUGGAACUGCGAGUGUAGAGGUGAAAUUCGUAGAUAUUCGCAAGAACACCAGUGGCGAAGGCGGCUCACUGGCCCGGUACUGACGCUGAGGUGCGAAAGCGUGGGGAGCAACAGGG
rnacentral:rRNA from 1 species